rnacentral:rRNA from 1 species
CCUACGGGAGGCAGCAGUGGGGAAUCUUAGACAAUGGGCGCAAGCYUGAUCUAGCCAUGCCGCGUGAGUGAUGAAGGCCUUAGGGUCGUAAAGCUCUUUCACCUGUGAAGAUAAUGACGGUAGCAGGAAAAGAAACCCCGGCUAACUCCGUGCCAGCAGCCGCGGUAAUACGGAGGGGGUUAGCGUUGUUCGGAAUUACUGGGCGUAAAGCGUACGUAGGCGGAUUAGUAAGUUAGAGGUGAAAUCCCAUGGCUCAACCAUGGAACUGCCUUUAAAACUGCUAGUCUUGAGUUCGAGAGAGGUGAGUGGAAUUCCAAGUGUAGAGGUGAAAUUCGUAGAUAUUUGGAGGAACACCAGUGGCGAAGGCGGCUCACUGGCUCGAUACUGACGCUGAGGUACGAAAGUGUGGGGAGCAAACAGGAUUAGAUACCCUGGUAGUCCACACCGUAAACGAUGAAUGCCAGUCGUCGGGUAGCAUGCUGCUCGGUGACACACCUAACGGAUUAAGCAUUCCGCCUGGGGAAGKMCGGUCGCAAGAUUAAAACUCAAAGGAAUUGACGGGG